rnacentral:tRNA from 1 species
GCCCCGGUAGCUCAGCGGGAGAGCGCCGCCGUCACAGGGCGGAAGUCGCUGGUUCGACACCAGCUCGGGGCA